rnacentral:rRNA from 1 species
GUGACUGCGUACCUUUUGUAUAAUGGGUCAGCGACUUAUAUUCUGUAGCAAGGUUAACCGUAUAGGGGAGCCGGAGGGAAACCGAGUCUUAAUUGGGCGUUAAGUUGCAGGGUAUAGACCCGAAACCCGGUGAUCUAGCCAUGGGCAGGUUGAAGGUUGGGUAACACUAACUGGAGGACCGAACCGACUAAUGUUGAAAAAUUAGCGGAUGACCUGUGGCUGGGGGUGAAAGGCCAAUCAAACCGGGAGAUAGCUGGUUCUCCCCGAAAGCUAUUUAGGUAGCGCCUCGUGAAUUCAUCUCCGGGGGUAGAGCACUGUUUCGGCUAGGGGGCCAUCCCGGCUUACCAACCCGAUGCAAACUGCGAAUACCGGAGAAUGUUAUCACGGGAGACACACGGCGGGUGCUAACGUCCGUCGUGAAGAGGGAAACAACCCAGACCGCCAGCUAAGGUCCCAAAGUCAUGGUUAAGUGGGAAACGAUGUGGGAAGGCCCAGACAGCCAGGAUGUUGGCUUAGAAGCAGCCAUCAUUUAAAGAAAGCGUAAUAGCUCACUGGUCGAGUCGGCCUGCGCGGAAGAUGUAACGGGGCUAAACCAUGCACCGAAGCUGCGGCAGCGAACGUAUCACCCAAGACAACUUUACGGAGUUGACGAUUGACGGAGCGAAGCGACGUCAAAGCGUUCAUUAAAGUCGAGUUGGCUUAGGGAUACGUUCGUUGGGUAGGGGAGCGUUCUGUAAGCCUGUGAAGGUGUGUCGUGAGGCAUGCUGGAGGUAUCAGAAGUGCGAAUGCUGACAUAAGUAACGAUAAAGCGGGUGAAAAGCCCGCUCGCCGGAAGACCAAGGGUUCCUGUCCAACGUUAAUCGGGGCAGGGUGAGUCGACCCCUAAGGCGAGGCCGAAAGGCGUAGUCGAUGGGAAACGGGUUAAUAUUCCCGUACUUGGUGUUACUGCGAAGGGGGGACGGAGAAGGCUAUGUUGGCCGGGCGACGGUUGUCCCGGUUUAAGCGUGUAGGUGUGUGUUCCAGGUAAAUCCGGUUCACUUUAACACUGAGGCGUGACGACGAGGCACUACGGUGCUGAAGCAACAAAUGCCCUGCUUCCAGGAAAAGCCUCUAAGCAUCAGGUAACAUCAAAUCGUACCCCAAACCGACACAGGUGGUCAGGUAGAGAAUACCAAGGCGCUUGAGAGAACUCGGGUGAAGGAACUAGGCAAAAUGGUGCCGUAACUUCGGGAGAAGGCACGCUGACACGUAGGUGAAGUGAUUUACUCAUGGAGCUGAAGUCAGUCGAAGAUACCAGCUGGCUGCAACUGUUUAUUAAAAACACAGCACUGUGCAAACACGAAAGUGGACGUAUACGGUGUGACGCCUGCCCGGUGCCGGAAGGUUAAUUGAUGGGGUCAGCGCAAGCGAAGCUCCUGAUCGAAGCCCCGGUAAACGGCGGCCGUAACUAUAACGGUCCUAAGGUAGCGAAAUUCCUUGUCGGGUAAGUUCCGACCUGCACGAAUGGCGUAAUGAUGGCCAGGCUGUCUCCACCCGAGACUCAGUGAAAUUGAACUCGCUGUGAAGAUGCAGUGUACCCGCGGCAAGACGGAAAGACCCCGUGAACCUUUACUAUAGCUUGACACUGAACAUUGAGCCUUGAUGUGUAGGAUAGGUGGGAGGCUUUGAAGUGUGGACGCCAGUCUGCAUGGAGCCGACCUUGAAAUACCACCCUUUAAUGUUUGAUGUUCUAACGUGGACCCGUAAUCCGGGUUGCGGACAGUGUCUGGUGGGUAGUUUGACUGGGGCGGUCUCCUCCUAAAGAGUAACGGAGGAGCACGAAGGUUGGCUAAUCCUGGUCGGACAUCAGGAGGUUAGUGCAAUGGCAUAAGCCAGCUUGACUGCGAGCGUGACGGCGCGAGCAGGUGCGAAAGCAGGUCAUAGUGAUCCGGUGGUUCUGAAUGGAAGGGCCAUCGCUCAACGGAUAAAAGGUACUCCGGGGAUAACAGGCUGAUACCGCCCAAGAGUUCAUAUCGACGGCGGUGUUUGGCACCUCGAUGUCGGCUCAUCACAUCCUGGGGCUGAAGUAGGUCCCAAGGGUAUGGCUGUUCGCCAUUUAAAGUGGUACGCGAGCUGGGUUUAGAACGUCGUGAGACAGUUCGGUCCCUAUCUGCCGUGGGCGCUGGAGAACUGAGGGGGGCUGCUCCUAGUACGAGAGGACCGGAGUGGACGCAUCACUGGUGUUCGGGUUGUCAUGCCAAUGGCACUGCCCGGUAGCUAAAUGCGGAAGAGAUAAGUGCUGAAAGCAUCUAAGCACGAAACUUGCCCCGAGAUGAGUUCUCCCUGAGACUU